rnacentral:rRNA from 1 species
AUUGAACGCUGGCGGAAUGCUUUACACAUGCAAGUCGAACGGUAGAGGGGGCAACCCCUCGAGAGUGGCGAACGGGUGAGUAAUAUAUCGGAACGUGCCCAGUCGUGGGGGAUAACGUAGCGAAAGUUACGCUAAUACCGCAUACGAUCUAAGGAUGGAAGCGGGGGAUCGCAAGACCUCGCGCGAUUGGAGCGGCCGAUAUCAGAUUAGGUAGUUGGUGGGGUAAAGGCUCACCAGGCCAACGGUCUGUAGCUGGUCUGAGAGGACGACCAGCCACACUGGAACUGAGACACGGUCCAGACUCCUACGGGAGGCAGCAGUGGGGAAUUUUGGACAAUGGACGCAAGUCUGAUCCAGCCAUUCCGCGUGCAGGAUGAAGGCCCUCGGGUUGUAAACUGCUUUUGUACGGAACGAAAAGGUCUCUCUUAAUACGGGGGGCUCAUGACGGUACCGUAAGAAUAAGCACCGGCUAACUACGUGCCAGCCGCCGCAGUAA